rnacentral:lncRNA from 1 species
CUUAAGUUUAAUUGAAGAUUAGAGGUUUACAAACAAUGUUUUCUACCUGUCUAUCUUCAAAGACAACAUGUUUUUGAAACAUAUGCCCUAGAAAACACAAACUGAGAACAAACACUGUAGCAUAGUUUCUGGAAUGUUUGAGAUUAUACUAGAAAUGCUGUAUCAAUUUGCUAUUUUAAAAAUGUAGUAUUUGGUACAGGAGUCAUGUAUAUGGAUUGCAAUCAUGACAUCUUACAUAAUUACAUAGAUUCUACCAUUAGGUUAUGAUAGCUUCAUUUACCCAUAAAUUGUUCCAAACAUUUAACUGCUUUGAGAAUCACAAAGAUUUCAUUCAUUUCUCAGUUUGAUUCUAUAAUUUAUUUGCUCCAUAAGGACUCACCUGCCUAAACAAAAUUGAAGUAUCCUUAGGGCACAAUUUUGAGACAUUUUAGUAUCUGUAUAUAGUGCAUAUAAUAAAACCAAUUAAACAUUAUUUGAUACAUAUUUAACUUUUUUGGCUGUAGGUAAUUCAGUCAUAAGUAAGCAUUUUCUAACGUCCAUUAUAUCCCUUUAGAUAUUACUUAAACCAAUAUUAUAAGUAGAUAACAUGUAUUAGUAUUUUUGUCUGUAUGUCCUAGCACUGUUCAAUGACAAAAUUUUCUAGUUCUUGUUAAUUUUUAUUUGUUAUACAAUGGAAGCACAAUGUUAUAAGGAAAGGUAAUUUUAAGCUAACAACCAGUGCACAGCCUCAGGUUUUAAAUUACAACCACAGUUGAAUAAUAACCUAAAAAUAAACUCUUAGUUUGCUAAAAAUUUAAAAUUUUAAUUUGGCAGUUCUAGAGCUGCUUACCUAUGUUGGUUUGCCAAAAAGAAGUGUUUAAGGUAUGUUUUCUGUAUAAAUGAACUAAUUCUUUAUAUUAAAUUCCUGUCUAUGCAUUUUGUGAGGUACAAACUUAUGAAACAGUGAGUGAUGGAGAAUUUCUGCCAUGCUUUCAACUCCAAGGUGAAAGUCUCUUUCUCUGGAUUAUUUUGAAAAUUUGAUGUAUUUAACCAUUAUGAAAUGCUGUUUUCUUAAAUAUAAUGCAGAGUCAAUCUAAAGUCAUUAUUUCUUCUAGUAAAAUAAAAUAUUGCUAGAAUAGUUCUCAUUAAAUUUAUUAUAUGCUAAAGAAUAAAAAUCCAGUUAGAUAAAAAAAAUAUUUUCCCAUUUCCAAGCAUUGCACCUUUAAGAAGAAAACAAUAUGACGAUAUGGUCGCUACACUUGUGAUGUCUGACAGCAUGAUGGCCUAGGGUUUUAUGAUAAUAUCUUGGAAUUUAUUUUUGAGGAAUGAGAAUGGUUGAGUACAACAUCAUGUAUUAAUAUUGAAUGAAAGACAAGGGUGCUGUAUCGUAGAUUAUUUAUCAAAAAAGUAUAAAAUCUUUAAAGGACAAUGUUAGAAUUUUAUUUUUUUUCUUUUGAUUGUUGAAGCAUUUAUCUUGUUGAUUUCUUAAAAAAGACAAAGGACGAUGUCAGUCAAGCAGCACUUUUUCAAAAUAUACAGAACAUAAAUAAUAUGAUGUGGUUGAGUGUUAACAUAAUAAAUCAUAUACAGUAUGACAUUUUAAGGAAAUAAGUCUGCAUUGAUGUGAUUGCAUGCUUGUUUUUACAGUUCACUCCAUACCAUCUGUGGAAAAAUGCAAUAAUAUGUUAAUAUAGUAUGGUAGUUUGAGAGAAUCAGGUAGGUGCUACUAGACACAUUGAAACUAGAAUAGGUUUAUAAACUGUUCAUACCUUUCAAUGCAUAAUCUUUAGAAAGAC